UACAGAGGGGGCAAGCGUUGUUCGGAAUUAUUGGGCGUAAAGAGCUCGUAGGCGGUUUGUUGCGUCGGCUGUGAAAACCUGAGGCUCAACCUCAGGCCUGCAGUCGAUACGAGCAGACUAGAGUGUUGCAGGGGAGACUGGAAUUCCUGGUGUAGCGGUGAAAUGCGCAGAUAUCAGGAGGAACACCGGUGGCGAAGGCGGGUCUCUGGGCAACAACUGACGCUGAGGAGCGAAAGCGUGGGGAGCGAACAGG
rnacentral:rRNA from 1 species